rnacentral:rRNA from 1 species
GACGAACGCUGGCGGCGUGCUUAACACAUGCAAGUCGAACGGAAAGGCCUGCUUUCCCUUGUGGAUUGCGGGUACUCGAGUGGCGAACGGGUGAGUAACACGUGAGUGAUCUGCCCCCAACUUGGGUAUAAGCCUGGGAAACUGGGUCUAAUUCCCGAUAGGACUGCAGGGUGGUGCCUGUGGUGGAAAACGAUUUUCUAGUGGUUGGGGAUGAGCUCGCGGCCUAUCAGCUUGUUGGUGGGGUAAUGGCCUACCAAGGCGGCGACGGGUAGCCGGCCUGAGAGGGUGGACGGCCACAUUGGGACUGAGAUACGGCCCAGACUCCUACGGGAGGCAGCAGUGGGGAAUAUUGGACAAUGGGCGGAAGCCUGAUGCAGCGAGGCCGCGUGGGGGAUGACGGCCUUCGGGUUGUAAACUCCUUUCGACCGCGAGGAAGCCACCUGGUUGGAAGGGUGGUGACGGUAGUGGUAGAAGAAGCACCGGCCAACUACGUG